AACGUAGGUGGCGAGCGUUAUCCGGAUUUACUGGGCGUAAAGGGUGUGCAGGCGGGCUGUUAAGUGGGGUGUGAAAUCCCGGGGCUUAACCCCGGGACUGCAUUCCAUACUGCGGUGCUUGAGGACUGGAGAGGAGACUGGAAUUUACGGUGUAGCAGUGAAAUGCGUAGAGAUCGUAAGGAAGACCAGUGGCGAAGGCGGGUCUCUGGACAGUUCCUGACACUGAGGCACGAAGGCCAGGGGAGCAAACGGG
rnacentral:rRNA from 1 species